GGGAAUAUUGGACAAUGGGCGAAAGCCUGAUCCAGCAAUGCCGCGUGAGUGAUGAAGGCCUUAGGGUCGUAAAGCUCUUUUACCCGGGAUGAUAAUGACAGUACCGGGAGAAUAAGCCCCGGCUAACUCCGUGCCAGCAGCCGCGGUAAUACGGAGGGGGCUAGCGUUGUUCGGAAUUACUGGGCGUAAAGCGCACGUAGGCGGUUAUUCAAGUCAGAGGUGAAAGCCCGGGGCUCAACCCCGGAACGGCCUUUGAAACUAGAUGACUAGAAUCUUGGAGAGGCGAGUGGAAUUCCGAGUGUAGAGGUGAAAUUCGUAGAUAUUCGGAAGAACACCAGUGGCGAAGGCGACUCGCUGGACAAGUAUUGACGCUGAGGUGCGAAAGCGUGGGGAGCAAACA
rnacentral:rRNA from 1 species